GAUGAACGCUAGCGGCAGGCUCAUUACAUGCAAGUCGAGGGGCAGCAUGGUGUACCAAUACACUGAUGGCGACCGGCAAACGGGUGCGGAACACGUCCCCAACCUUCCCAAAACUGGUGAAUAGCCCUCCAAAAGGAGGAUUAAUACACCAUAACAUAGUGAAGCGGCUUCGCUUUAUUAUUAAAGUAGCAAUACGGUUUUGGAUGGGCGUGCGCCUGAUUAGAUAGUUGGCGGGGUAACGGCCCACCAAGUCUACAAUCAGUAACUGGUGUGAGAGCACAACCAGUCACACGGGCACUGAAACACGGGCCCAACUCCUACGGGAGGCAGCAGUAAGGAAUAUUGGUCAAUGGACAAAAGUCUGAACCAGCCAUGCCGCGUGAAGGAUGAAGGCCCUCUGGGUUGUAAACUUCUUUUAUAGGGAACAAAAAAAGGAAAUUCUUUCUCACUUGACGGUACCCUAGGAAUAAGCACCGGCUAACUCCGUG
rnacentral:rRNA from 1 species